AUGAAUCUUGAAGACGGUUCGCCACCUCUGUCCAAUCAUGUUGGGGGGCCUUCCCAGCAUACCUAUAUUUUGGCCCGGGGGGCAACUCUGUAUACGCAAAUGAAGAAAAGAGUUGAGGAGAAAGUACAAGCAAUUGGAUCUGAAAUUCCUAUCUAUGUCAAAAAGAUGACUGAAAUCUCUAUUAUUGGCAGCAAGGGCAAGGGUAGAGGAGGCCGAACAUAUGUUGUGACCUUCUGCCGCGAAUUUGCUUCGGCAUGGCUCCCCACCCAGAAAACAAAAAUUUACCUUCAGGUAGUGGGCAAAACGAAGCCAUGGCGUACCAAGUUCGAUGUUGGACGACGUGGUGACAGAAUGAGUUGGAUUCACAACGGGUGGGAGGAAUUUGUUUGGGACAAUGGCCUGAAGGUAGGGGAUGUGUGUCUCUUUGAAGCAAAAAAGAAGAAUGGCCAGAUGUUGAUUGUCCAUAUGAUUCGGUCGGAAAUAGAGGUGUAG
rnacentral:rRNA from 1 species